rnacentral:rRNA from 1 species
GUGGGGAAUAUUGGGCAAUGGGCGAAAGCCUGACCCAGCGACGCCGCGUGGGUGAUGAAGGCCUUCGGGUUGUAAAACCCUUUCGUGCGGAAAGAACAGCCCUAAAUCUAAUACAUUCAGGGUUUGACGGUACCGCAGGAAGAAGCACCGGCUAACUCCGUGCCAGCAGCCGCGGUAAUACGGAGGGUGCAAGCGUUGUUCGGAAUUAUUGGGCGUAAAGGGCGCGUAGGCGGUUGUGAUAGUCAGAUGUGAAAUCCUUCGGCUCAACUGAAGAACUGCAUCUGAAACUUCAUAACUGGAGUACAGGAGAGGGAAACGGAAUUCCCGGUGUAGAGGUGAAAUUCGUAGAUAUCGGGAGGAACACCAGUGGCGAAGGCGGUUUCCUGGCCUGAUACUGACGCUGAGGCGCGAAAGCGUGGGGAGCAAACAGGAUUAGAAACCCGAGUAGUCC